rnacentral:rRNA from 2 species
AGUUCGAGCGGACAGAAGGGAGCUUGCUCCCGGAUGUUAGCGGCGGACGGGUGAGUAACACGUGGGUAACCUGCCUGUAAGACUGGGAUAACUCCGGGAAACCGGAGCUAAUACCGGAUAGUUCCUUGAACCGCAUGGUUCAAGGAUGAAAGACGGUUUCGGCUGUCACUUACAGAUGGACCCGCGGCGCAUUAGCUAGUUGGUGAGGUAACGGCUCACCAAGGCGACGAUGCGUAGCCGACCUGAGAGGGUGAUCGGCCACACUGGGACUGAGACACGGCCCAGACUCCUACGGGAGGCAGCAGUAGGGAAUCUUCCGCAAUGGACGAAAGUCUGACGGAGCAACGCCGCGUGAGUGAUGAAGGUUUUCGGAUCGUAAAGCUCUGUUGUUAGGGAAGAACAAGUGCAAGAGUAACUGCUUGCACCUUGACGGUACCUAACCAGAAAGCCACGGCUAACUACGUGCCAGCAGCCGCGGUAAUACGUAGGUGGCAAGCGUUGUCCGGAAUUAUUGGGCGUAAAGGGCUCGCAGGCGGUUUCUUAAGUCUGAUGUGAAAGCCCCCGGCUCAACCGGGGAGGGUCAUUGGAAACUGGGAAACUUGAGUGCAGAAGAGGAGAGUGGAAUUCCACGUGUAGCGGUGAAAUGCGUAGAGAUGUGGAGGAACACCAGUGGCGAAGGCGACUCUCUGGUCUGUAACUGACGCUGAGGAGCGAAAGCGUGGGGAGCGAACAGGAUUAGAUACCCUGGUAGUCCACGCCGUAAACGAUGAGUGCUAAGUGUUAGGGGGUUUCCGCCCCUUAGUGCUGCAGCUAACGCAUUAAGCACUCCGCCUGGGGAGUACGGUCGCAAGACUGAAACUCAAAGGAAUUGACGGGGGCCCGCACAAGCGGUGGAGCAUGUGGUUUAAUUCGAAGCAACGCGAAGAACCUUACCAGGUCUUGACAUCCUCUGACAACCCUAGAGAUAGGGCUUUCCCUUCGGGGACAGAGUGACAGGUGGUGCAUGGUUGUCGUCAGCUCGUGUCGUGAGAUGUUGGGUUAAGUCCCGCAACGAGCGCAACCCUUGAUCUUAGUUGCCAGCAUUCAGUUGGGCACUCUAAGGUGACUGCCGGUGACAAACCGGAGGAAGGUGGGGAUGACGUCAAAUCAUCAUGCCCCUUAUGACCUGGGCUACACACGUGCUACAAUGGACAGAACAAAGGGCUGCGAGACCGCAAGGUUUAGCCAAUCCCACAAAUCUGUUCUCAGUUCGGAUCGCAGUCUGCAACUCGACUGCGUGAAGCUGGAAUCGCUAGUAAUCGC